AACGAACGCUGGCGGCAUGCCUAACACAUGCAAGUCGAACGAGACCUUCGGGUCUAGUGGCGCACGGGUGCGUAACGCGUGGGAACCUGCCCUUAGGUUCGGAAUAACUCCCCGAAAGGGGUGCUAAUACCGGUUAAUGUCUUCGGACCAAAGAUUUAUCGCUUUUGGAUGGGCCCGCGUUGGAUUAGCUGGUUGGUAGGGUAAAAGCCUACCAAGGCGACGAUCCAUAGCUGGUCUGAGAGGAUGAUCAGCCACACUGGGACUGAGACACGGCCCAGACUCCGACGGGAGGCAGCAGGAGGGAAGAUUGGACAAUGGACGAAAGCCUGAUCCAGCAAUGCCGCGUGAGUGAUGAAUGCCUUAGGGUUGUAAAGCUCUCUUGCCCGGGAUGAUAAUGACAGUACCGGGAGAAUAAGCUCCGGCUAACUCCGUG
rnacentral:rRNA from 1 species